rnacentral:rRNA from 1 species
UGCCAGCCGCCGCGGUAAUACGAAUGGAGCGAGCGUUGUUCGGAAUCAUUGGGCGUAAAGCGUAUGUAGGCGGAACAGAAAGUCAGAAGUGAAAUCCCGAGGCUCAACCUCGGAACUGCUUUUGAAACUUCUGUUCUAGUAUCCCGGAGGGGUUGACGGAAUUCCGAGUGUAGAGGUGAAAUUCGCAGAUAUUCGGAGGAACACCAGUGGCGUAGGCGGUCAACUGGACGGGUAUAGACGCUGAGAUACGAAAGCGUGGAUAGCAGACAGGAUUAGAUA